UACGGGGGGGGCAAGCGUUGUUCGGAAUUACUGGGCGUAAAGGGCUCGUAGGCGGCCAACUAAGUCCGACGUGAAAUCCCAAGGCUUAACCUUGGAACUGCGUCGGAUACUGGAUGGCUUGAAUUCGGGAGAGGGAUGCAGAAUUCCAGGUGUAGCGGUGAAAUGCGUAGAUAUCUGGAGGAAUACCGGUGGCGAAGGCGGCAUCUUGGACCGACAUUGACGCUGAUGAGCGAAAGCUAGGGGAGCAAACGGG
rnacentral:rRNA from 1 species